UACGGGGGGAGCAAGCGUUGUUCGGAUUUACUGGGCGUAAAGGGCGCGUAGGCGGUCAGCACAAGUCAGUUGUGAAAUCUCCGGGCUUAACUCGGAAAGGUCAACUGAUACUGUGCGACUAGAGUGCGGAAGGGGCAACUGGAAUUCUCGGUGUAGCGGUGAAAUGCGUAGAUAUCGAGAGGAACACCUGCGGCGAAGGCGGGUUGCUGGGCCGACACUGACGCUGAUGCGCGAAAGCCAGGGGAGCGAACGGG
rnacentral:rRNA from 2 species